GUCUCGUAGUGACCUGCGGAGGGAUCAUUACCGAGUUCAUGCCCUUACGGGUAGACCUCCCACCCUAUGUUAUAUUACCUUUGUUGCUUUGGCGGGCCGCCCGGCUUCGGCCAGGCUACCGGCUCCAGCUGGUAAGCGCUCGCCAGAGGACCCUCAACUCUGAAUAUCAGUGUCGUCCGAGUACUAUAAAAUAGUUAAAACUUUCAACAACGGAUCUCUUGGUUCUGGCAUCGAUGAAGAACGCAGCGAAAUGCGAUAAGUAAUGUGAAUUGCAGAAUUCAGUGAAUCAUCGAAUCUUUGAACGCACAUUGCGCCCCUUGGUAUUCCGAGGGGCAUGCCUGUUCGAGCGUCAUUACAACCCUCAAGCACUGCUUGGUAUUGGGCUCCGCUGGCUCCAGCGGGCCUUAAAAUCAGUGGCGGCGCCGUUUGGGCUCUGAGCGUAGUAAAUAUCCUCGCUAUAGAGACCAGGCGGUUCUUGUCAUCAACCCCCAACUUUCUAAGUUUGACCUCGGAUCAGGUAGGGAUACCCGCUGAACUUAAGCAUAUCAU
rnacentral:rRNA from 1 species